CCUACGGUGAGGCAGCAGUAAGGAAUAUUGGACAAUGGUGGCAACACUGAUCCAGCCAUGCCGCGUGCAGGAUGACGGUUCUAUGAAUUGUAAACUGCUUUUAUACGGGAAAAACCCUCAAGACGUGAUUUUGAGCUGAUUGUACCGUAAGAAUAAGGAUCGGCUAACUUCGUGCCAGCAGCCGCGGUAAGACGAAGGAUCCAAGCGUUAUCCGGAUUUAUUGGGUUUAAAGGGUGCGUAGGCGGACUCAUAAGUCAGUGGUGAAAUCCCAAAGCUUAACUUUGGAACUGCCAUUGAUACUGUAAGUCUUGAGUAUGUUUGAAGUGGGCGGAAUGUAUUGUGUAGCGGUGAAAUGCUUAGAUAUAAUACAGAACACCAAUUGCGAAGGCAGCUCACUAAACCAUAACUGAACGCUGAGGCACGAAAGCAUGGGGAGCAAACAGGAUUAGAUACCCUGGUAGUCCAUGCCCUAAACGAUGAAUACUCGAUAUGUGCGAUAUACAGUACGUGUCUAAGCGAAAGCAUUAAGAUUCCACCUGGGGAUACGCUCGCAAGAGUUGAAAACUCGAAAAGUAGUAAGUACGGACGGACGAGAGAGCGACGGACGACGACGACGGAGGGAGGAGG
rnacentral:rRNA from 1 species